UACUCUGAUAAUCUGGUUGCUCUUAUAGGCAAUACCUCCAAAAUAUUGGACUCGAAAACCGAACUUUCAAGCGAUAUUUUUCUCGUGAAAGCACAGGCUCAAUGAACUAAAUUUUUAUUUAAUACAACAGAAACAAACACUUCAUACUAAACAAAAAGAAGUUGUGCUGAAUUUCUGUACAAAAUCCUCUAGAAGCGGCCAUGCGAUGACCUGACAAGCAAGCUGAGCGGCCCGUGCAAGGAGCGCUGAAAUUUUGAAACAAGCCGAGGAUUCUAAGGUUCCCGAUUUAAACCAACUUUUAGUAUCAGAGUGAACGUCAGUCACGGGUAUGAGUAAAUAAAAAAAGUGAAAAACGUAAUUCCUUGAGCUGAUACCGAAUGCAUUCGUGAAAAACAACAGUAUUGUGAUUGACGAGAAUGCGGAAGUUACGUAAUUGUCAUUCUCACAGAAACACCCGAUUACUCAAACG